AGUGAACGCUGGCGGUAGGCCUAACACAUGCAAGUCGAACGGCAGCACAGUAAGAGCUUGCUCUUACGGGUGGCGAGUGGCGGACGGGUGAGGAAUACAUCGGAAUCUACUUUUUCGUGGGGGAUAACGUAGGGAAACUUACGCUAAUACCGCAUACGACCUACGGGUGAAAGCAGGGGAUCUUCGGACCUUGCGCGAUUGAAUGAGCCGAUGUCGGAUUAGCUAGUUGGCGGGGUAGAGGGCCACCAAGGCGACGAUCCGUAGCUGGUAUGAGAGGAUGAUCCGCCACCCUGGCUGUGAGACAGAGUCCACACUCCUACGGUAGGCCGCAGUGGGGAAUAUUGGACAAUGGGCGCAAGCCUGAUCCAGCCAUACCGCGUGGGUGAAGAAGGCCUUCGGGUUGUAAAGCCCUUUUGUUGGUAAAGAAAAGCAGCAGGUUAAUACCCCGCUGUUCUGACGGUACCCAAAGAAUAAGCACCGGCUAACUUCGUG
rnacentral:rRNA from 1 species